UUUCCUACGGGACGCAGCAGUGAGGAAUAUUGGUCAAUGGUCGGGAGACUGAACCAGCCAAGCCGCGUGAGGGAUGAAGGUACAGAGUAUCGUAAACCUCUUUUGUCAGGGAACAAAGGCGGGGACGUGUCCCCGGAUGAGUGUACCUGAAGAAAAAGCAUCGGCUAACUCCGUGCCAGCAGCCGCGGUAAUACGGAGGAUGCGAGCGUUAUCCGGAUUUAUUGGGUUUAAAGGGUGCGCAGGCGGAAGAUCAAGUCAGCGGUAAAAUUGAGAGGCUCAACCUCUUCGAGCCGUUGAAACUGGUU
rnacentral:rRNA from 1 species